rnacentral:rRNA from 1 species
AAGCUCGUAGUUGAAUUUCGGGAUUAGUACGUCGGUCGUGCCUUAGGUACGUACUGGUGUUACUGGUUCCUACCUUCUGACGAACCAUCAUGUCAUUAAUUUGGUGUGGUGGGGAAUCAGGACUGUUACUUUGAAAAAAUUAAGAGUGUUUAAAGCAGGCUCGCGCUUGAAUACAUUAGCAUGGAAUAAUGAAAUAGGACGUUGAUCCUAUUUUGUUGGUUUCUAGGAUUGACGUAAUGAUUAAUAGGGAUAGUUGGG